CCUACGGGGGGCUGCAGUGGGGAAUAUUGGACAAUGGGCGAAAGCCUGAUCCAGCAAUGCCGCGUGAGUGAUGAAGGCCUUAGGGUUGUAAAGCUCUUUCGGCGGGGACGAUGAUGACGGUACCCGCAGAAGAAGCCCCGGCUAACUUCGUGCCAGCAGCCGCGGUAAUACGAAGGGGGCUAGCGUUGUUCGGAAUUACUGGGCGUAAAGCGCACGCAGGCGGUCCGUUGAAUUAGAAGUGAAAGCCCUGGGCUCAACCCGGGAAUUGCUUUUAAGACUGGCGGACUAGAAUCCGGAAGAGGGCAGUGGAAUUCCCAGUGUAGAGGUGAAAUUCGUAGAUAUUGGGAAGAACACCAGUGGCGAAGGCGACUGCCUGGUCCGGGAUUGACGCUCAUGUGCGAAAGCGUGGGGAGCAAACAGGAUUAGAUACCCUGGUAGUC
rnacentral:rRNA from 1 species